AGAGUUAAACUAUUAAUUUCAUAAGGUUUUAAUUGACAAUGAGUGUUUUAUUAAUUAGUAAAGAUAUGAUGCCUCAUGGCUGAGCAACCGUCAAUAGAGUUUCGAUCUCACUCUAUAGCCGCAAGCAGCGGCGCCAACCUCCAUUCCCACCUGUCUACAUUCUCAAGGCUGAUGGUUGAAAUUAGAAUAUAAUCUGGUCUACCAUUUUGGUUCCGAUGUAUUCUCCCACCGGAUAGAGUGUUACUCAACUGAACUGCACCAAAUCUUGCAAUGGUGAUCGGUCAAAUUGACGGUUUUAUGGUGGAACAAGACCAAUCCAACUCAGGCCCAACCCUGGCCUCCAUCAGUUUUCUUAUAUGCCCCUCUCUAGACUUUACUUUCUCUCUCUACAAUCAUCAUGGCAACAUCUGGCAUGAAGAUCAAGUUCGAAAUCAACUGUAAUGAUCCGAUCCGUCCUUUUUGUACUUUGAUGUUUGGUUUGUUUAUCUGUGAUUUGAUGUGUGAAUUGAUUGAGAUUUGAAAUGAAAAAGGGU